rfam:Dipodomys ordii contig_50607, whole genome shotgun sequence.
GGUGGCUCAGCGGUAGAGCGCGUGCCUUGCAUGCAUGAGGCCCUGGGUUUGAUUGCCCAGCACCA